rnacentral:rRNA from 1 species
GAUGAACGCUGGCGGCGUGCCUAAUACAUGCAAGUCGAGCGAAUGGAUUAAGAGCUUGCUCUUAUGAAGUUAGCGGCGGACGGGUGAGUAACACGUGGGUAACCUGCCCAUAAGACUGGGAUAACUCCGGGAAACCGGGGCUAAUAUCGGAUAACAUUUUGAACCGCAUGGUUCGAAAUUGAAAGGCGGCUUCGGCUGUCACUUAUGGAUGGACCCGCGUCGCAUUAGCUAGUUGGUGAGGUAACGGCUCACCAAGGCAACGAUGCGUAGCCGACCUGAGAGGGUGAGCGGCCACACUGGGACUGAGACACGGCCCAGACUCCUACGGGAGGCAGCAGUAGGGAAUCUUCCGCAAUGGACGAAAGUCUGACGGAGCAACGCCGCGUGAGUGAUGAAGGCUUUCGGGUCGUAAAACUCUGUUGUUAGGGAAGAACAAGUGCUAGUUGAAUAAGCUGGCACCUUGACGGUACCUAACCAGAGAGCCACGGCUAACUACGUGCCAGCCGCCGCCGUAA